rnacentral:tRNA from 1 species
AGGUUGGUGGCUAAAAGGAAGCGCGUGUUUUUAAAUUGCAGACCCGAGGGUUCGAAUCCCCACCAAUUCC